CCUACGGGCGGCUGCAGUGGGGAAUAUUGCACAAUGGGCGCAAGCCUGAUGCAGCCAUGCCGCGUGUGUGAAGAAGGCCUUCGGGUUGUAAAGCACUUUCAGCGGGGAGGAAGGCGUUAAGGUUAAUAACCUUGGCGAUUGACGUUACCCGCAGAAGAAGCACCGGCUAACUCCGUGCCAGCAGCCGCGGUAAUACGGAGGGUGCAAGCGUUAAUCGGAAUUACUGGGCGUAAAGCGCACGCAGGCGGUCUGUCAAGUCGGAUGUGAAAUCCCCGGGCUCAACCUGGGAACUGCAUUCGAAACUGGCAGGCUAGAGUCUUGUAGAGGGGGGUAGAAUUCCAGGUGUAGCGGUGAAAUGCGUAGAGAUCUGGAGGAAUACCGGUGGCGAAGGCGGCCCCCUGGACAAAGACUGACGCUCAAGUGCGAAAGCGUGGGGAGCAAACAGGAUUAGAUACCCUGUAGUC
rnacentral:rRNA from 1 species